rnacentral:lncRNA from 1 species
CAGCGCCCCCACAGAUUCUGGAACCCUCCUGCUCCUGGGAGGCUGAGGGUCUGCACUGCAGCUGCUCCUGCAGAGCCUGGCCAGCCCCCUCCCUGCACUGGCGGAUGGGGGAGGGGCUGCUGGCGGGCAACAGCAGCAAUGCGUCAUUCACCGUCACCUCCAGUUCCAGGGGGCCCUGGGCCAACAGCUCCCUGAGUGUAUACGGAGGGUUCAGUUCUGACUUGAGGCUCAGCUGUGACGCCCAGAAUGACUUUGGGGCCGAGGGCCACUGUCCUGUUGAUGCCGAUUCAGGGUCAGUGGCUUGAAGGGGCGGAGGCUUGGGAGGAAGGAGGAAGUAAUCUAGAGCUAGUGUAGGAAUGGGAGGGGCAACACAGGCUGGGCAGUGUGGGAAGCGUGGCCAGGGUCCUGCCCUGUGGUUAGUUGGGGAAUGAAGAUGGGGCCUGUUGAGGGCUUCAGGGUCUGUGAAGGGUCACGAACCCCUCACUCCCGCUGCCCUGUAGGGAAGCUGUUUUGCCCUCAAGCCUCUGUAUUGGCUGCCGUGGGGGCAGCUGGUGUGGUAGCUCUGCUAUCCCUCUCUGCCUGCCUCAUCUUCUUUAGGGUGAAGACUGUCAGGAUGGCCGCUGCCGGGAAGGAUAAACCUGCUGCCUUUGUACCUGUCUGCAGGGGAACCCUCAAUGCAGCUGAUAGUACGAAAGGCCACCCAUCCCCUGCCCUGGCCAUACCUGCCCCAGAGGAGGAGCUAGAGGUCCAUUAUGCCUCCCUCAGCUUCAAGAGGCUGAGGCCCUGGGAGCCUCAGGACAGAGAUGAGGCCAGCCCCACGGAGUACUCAGAGAUCAAGAUCCGAAAGUAACAAACACAGCAGUGCCCAGGGCAUGUCUGGGGAGGGAGACACCACCACAGACCCUACGGCAGCUGUUCGCCUUGUAACCAGGACACUAACUGGGGUAGGCAGUCCAUGGCCCUGCGAUGGGCAGACAUAGGCUCCAGUUUCUGCCCCGGCGCCUGCAUGAGUUCCUUUGCCCCUCACCCCCCUGCUCAGCCUAACAGACAUUGUCCCCCACGCAUGGGCUGCUGUGGGGCAUGAAGGUAGCUCUUAGCAUCAAAUAUGGGUGUCUGCAGAGAGCACAUCACCUCCUUGCCUGUUCCCGGGGAUCCUAUGAUAUGUGGAGCCCUCCGGGCCUUGCUGCCCAGCCCUGUAUGUACUCCUGCAUGGGAAUGCCAGCUGUAGAUGGCCCUGAAAGCUCACUGGAGUGACCUGUGUCACGGUGAGACUCUCUGCCAGCCUUCUGCCCUGCACUUGUAUCAAUCACUGAGCAUCCUCUUCCUCCAGUGCAUUCUAGCCUCGACUGUCCCCACACCUUGUUCAUCUGACAUAGACUCCGUGGGUUUGAAUGAAAAGAUUCCCUAAAGGCUCCAAGUAGUUGAAUACUUGGUCUCCACUUCAUGGUGCUAUUUGAGGGGAGGGGGGUCAUGGAAACUUUAGGAAGUGUGGCCUCACUGGAAGAAGCACUGUGGUCACUGGGGGCAGGCGUUGAGCUCAUGGCCUCAUCCCGUCUCCAGUCUGUCUCUCUUUCUCUGCUUCCUGUGCCUGCUUCAAAGUGCGAGCACUCAGUUUUGCAUUCUGCCUGCCUCCUGCAGAGCCUCCCCACCAUGAUGGACUUCUUACUCCUCUGGAACCAGAAGCCCAAUAAACUACUCCUUCCAUAAGUGGCCUUGGUUGUGGUGUUUUAUCACAGCAUCAGGAAAGUAACUAAUACAGUCCAAGUAUUCAAAUUUCGAACCUCUCGAAGUCUGUUUCCCUGGGACCUGUUCUGAAAUGGCUUCUUGUUGUUUAGGAUUUGCUUAUAAAAUUCCCCCCAAUUUCCAUCUGAUCCCGUCACCUAGUCACACAGUGCUCACAUCCAACUUCUCUCAUACUUUUGUUUUCUUGCCAAGGACUAUUCAUUAGUGAAAAAAAAAUUAUGAUCAAC